UACGUAGGGUGCAAGCGUUGUCCGGAAUUAUUGGGCGUAAAGAGCUCGUAGGCGGUCUGUCGCGUCUGCUGUGAAAACUCGGGGCUUAACCCCGGGCCUGCAGUGGGUACGGGCAGGCUAGAGUUCGGUAGGGGAGACUGGAAUUCCUGGUGUAGCGGUGAAAUGCGCAGAUAUCAGGAGGAACACCAGUGGCGAAGGCGGCUCACUGGUCCGGUACUGACGCUGAGGUGCGAAAGCGUGGGGAGCAAACAGG
rnacentral:rRNA from 1 species